GUUGUUUUGCCAUAACUGAUUAAUUAAAAGUUUAGUAUAUUCAGAAGAAAUACAAAAUGGUCAGGAACCAAACGCACAAUACCACAAAGUAAAUCUUAACACAAUUUAUUUAUGAAGUGAACAGGCGUCAAGCCAGACUGAUAAAAUUAUAGUUUGAGUACUGAUACAUCAGUCAUUGGCUACUUCGUAUUUAUUGACAUAACUUAUCUGAAACAAGAAUUUAUAAACAAGAACAUAUCAUUUUCCUCCAUGGUACAUAUAUCUCUCCUAAAAAAAUGAGCUGUUUGCUCAUAAAGCCUAGCAAUUCAUAGAACAGCAGGAGUUUUGGUAGUAUAUCACUCUAUGGCAUGCUUCCCUUUUUCGAAAUGUUAUAAAAUAGCCACACAUAGAUUGACUGUGUUUCUCUUACAGCUCCAGCUGGGGAUGGUUAUAAAAAUGUAGGGCAUCAGUGCUUUUAAGCAGCAUUUUUUUACUUUAUUUUUGUUUUCCUUUCCUUAUGCCUCCCCCAUCUUAAAG